UAAGCGACUAAGCGUACACGGUGGAUGCCCUGGCAGUCAGAGGCGAUGAAGGACGUGCUAAUCUGCGAAAAGCGUCGGUAAGGUGAUAUGAACCGUUAUAACCGGCGAUGUCCGAAUGGGGAAACCCAGUGUGAUUCGUCACACUAUCGUUAACUGAAUACAUAGGUUAACGAGGCGAACCGGGGGAACUGAAACAUCUAAGUACCCCGAGGAAAAGAAAUCAACCGAGAUUCCCCCAGUAGCGGCGAGCGAACGGGGAGCAGCCCAGAGUCUGAAUCAGCUUGUGUGUUAGUGGAACGGUCUGGAAAGUCCGACGGUACAGGGUGAUAGUCCCGUACACCAAAAUGCACAGGCUGUGAACUCGAAGAGUAGGGCGGGACACGUGGUAUCCUGUCUGAAUAUGGGGGGACCAUCCUCCAAGGCUAAAUACUCCUGACUGACCGAUAGUGAACCAGUACCGUGAGGGAAAGGCGAAAAGAACCCCGGCGAGGGGAGUGAAAAAGAACCUGAAACCGUGUACGUACAAGCAGUGGGAGCACCUUCGGGUGUGACUGCGUACCUUUUGUAUAAUGGGUCAGCGACUUAUAUUCUGUAGCAAGGUUAACCGUAUAGGGGAGCCGCAGGGAAACCGAGUCUUAACUGGGCGUUAAGUUGCAGGGUAUAGACCCGAAACCCGGUGAUCUAGCCAUGGGCAGGUUGAAGGUUGGGUAACACUAACUGGAGGACCGAACCGACUAAUGUUGAAAAAUUAGCGGAUGACUUGUGGCUGGGGGUGAAAGGCCAAUCAAACCGGGAGAUAGCUGGUUCUCCCCGAAAGCUAUUUAGGUAGCGCCUCGUGAACUCAUCUUCGGGGGUAGAGCACUGUUUCGGCUAGGGGGUCAUCCCGACUUACCAACCCGAUGCAAACUACGAAUACCGAAGAAUGUUAUCACGGGAGACACACGGCGGGUGCUAACGUCCGUCGUGAAGAGGGAAACAACCCAGACCGCCAGCUAAGGUCCCAAAGUCAUGGUUAAGUGGGAAACGAUGUGGGAAGGCACAGACAGCCAGGAUGUUGGCUUAGAAGCAGCCAUCAUUUAAAGAAAGCGUAAUAGCUCACUGGUCGAGUCGGCCUGCGCGGAAGAUGUAACGGGGCUAAACCAUGCACCGAAGCUGCGGCAGCGACACUAUGUGUUGUUGGGUAGGGGAGCGUUCUGUAAGCCUGCGAAGGUGACCUGUGAGGGUUGCUGGAGGUAUCAGAAGUGCGAAUGCUGACAUAAGUAACGAUAAAGCGGGUGAAAAGCCCGCUCGCCGGAAGACCAAGGGUUCCUGUCCAACGUUAAUCGGGGCAGGGUGAGUCGACCCCUAAGGCGAGGCCGAAAGGCGUAGUCGAUGGGAAACAGGUUAAUAUUCCUGUACUUGGUGUUACUGCGAAGGGGGGACGGAGAAGGCUAUGUUAGCCGGGCGACGGUUGUCCCGGUUUAAGCAUGUAGGCUGGUUAUCCAGGCAAAUCCGGAUAAUCAAGGCUGAGGUGUGAUGACGAGGCACUACGGUGCUGAAGUAACAAAUGCCCUGCUUCCAGGAAAAGCCUCUAAGCAUCAGGUAACAUCAAAUCGUACCCCAAACCGACACAGGUGGUCAGGUAGAGAAUACCAAGGCGCUUGAGAGAACUCGGGUGAAGGAACUAGGCAAAAUGGUGCCGUAACUUCGGGAGAAGGCACGCUGGUGUGUAGGUGAAGCCCCUGCGGGUGGAGCUGAGACCAGUCGAAGAUACCAGCUGGCUGCAACUGUUUAUUAAAAACACAGCACUGUGCAAACACGAAAGUGGACGUAUACGGUGUGACGCCUGCCCGGUGCCGGAAGGUUAAUUGAUGGGGUUAUCCGUAAGGAGAAGCUCUUGAUCGAAGCCCCGGUAAACGGCGGCCGUAACUAUAACGGUCCUAAGGUAGCGAAAUUCCUUGUCGGGUAAGUUCCGACCUGCACGAAUGGCGUAAUGAUGGCCAGGCUGUCUCCACCCGAGACUCAGUGAAAUUGAACUCGCUGUGAAGAUGCAGUGUACCCGCGGCAAGACGGAAAGACCCCGUGAACCUUUACUAUAGCUUGACACUGAACAUUGAGCCUUGAUGUGUAGGAUAGGUGGGAGGCUUUGAAGCGUGGACGCCAGUCUGCGUGGAGCCAACCUUGAAAUACCACCCUUUAAUGUUUGAUGUUCUAACGUUGGCCCCUUACCGGGGUUGCGGACAGUGUCUGGUGGGUAGUUUGACUGGGGCGGUCUCCUCCCAAAGCGUAACGGAGGAGCACGAAGGUUAGCUAAUCCUGGUCGGACAUCAGGAGGUUAGUGCAAUGGCAUAAGCUAGCUUGACUGCGAGCGUGACGGCGCGAGCAGGUGCGAAAGCAGGUCAUAGUGAUCCGGUGGUUCUGAAUGGAAGGGCCAUCGCUCAACGGAUAAAAGGUACUCCGGGGAUAACAGGCUGAUACCGCCCAAGAGUUCAUAUCGACGGCGGUGUUUGGCACCUCGAUGUCGGCUCAUCACAUCCUGGGGCUGAAGUAGGUCCCAAGGGUAUGGCUGUUCGCCAUUUAAAGUGGUACGCGAGCUGGGUUUAGAACGUCGUGAGACAGUUCGGUCCCUAUCUGCCGUGGGCGCUGGAGAAUUGAGGGGGGCUGCUCCUAGUACGAGAGGACCGGAGUGGACGCAUCACUGGUGUUCGGGUUGUCAUGCCAAUGGCACUGCCCGGUAGCUAAAUGCGGAAGAGAUAAGUGCUGAAAGCAUCUAAGCACGAAACUUGCCCCGAGAUGAGUUCUCCCUGAGACUUUAAGUCUCCUGAAGGAACGUUGAAGACGACGACGUUGAUAGGCCGGGUGUGUAAGCGCAGCGAUGCGUUGAGCUAACCGGUACUAAUGAACCGUGAGGCUUAACCU
rnacentral:rRNA from 1 species